rnacentral:pre_miRNA from 14 species
AUCUUCUGGUGAUGUGUUAGACAUGUUACCAGGCAUGUACUGAAAGAUCCCACGCAGAGAGACCCUUACUCAAGUCUUGGGAAAUUGUGGACCCCAGACACAGAGAGACCA